GGGCGAUUAGCUCAGUUGGGAGAGCACCUGCCUUACAAGCAGGGGGUCACUGGUUCGUGCCCGGUAUCGCCCA
rnacentral:tRNA from 13 species